GCCCCCGCCUGCCCCGCCCGGCGCCGCACCACGUGGGCCAGGCGCCCCACGCCUGGAGCUCCCCUCUCUGGAGCCCCGGGAAAGGAAGCGGGGCAGGGAGGCCGGGUGGGAGCAGGGGGGUCUCCGGCGCUUCCUCUCCUCUGCGGGCGCCGCGCGGCUCCUGAGAGUCCGCCCCCCGUCCUGACGCUCAGCUAGGAAGCGGGUCCUCGGGCCCCUCCCCCGACACACACACACACACACACACACACACACACACACACACACACUCUCUCUCUCUCUCUCUCUCUCUCUCUCUCUCUCUCUCUCUCUCACACACACACACACACACACAGCCCGUCUCGCGCCUGAGGUCUCGCCCGCAGGCCGGUGGCGCGGGGUCAGCUGCUGCCUGCGGUCCAGGACAGGGUCGGUUCCGCCGCGCAGCGCCCAGGCCCAGCUCGUCCAGAGUCUGCGGACAGCGCACGUCCAGGCACUUUCCCACACAGGAUGGAGCCGGGCCACCCUCACAGCUCCUGCCCUGCAGACGCUGGCCUUGUGGAGGGAGGCAGGCAGCAGGAGCAGUGCUUUCUGGGCCUCUGUAGCCAGAGCUGGCCCUGCUGCAGCUUACGUCUGCCUGCAGCCCAGACGUCCUCCUGGUCCUCCUGAUGCCCCCGACCUCCACGGAGGACGAGCAUUUCCAGCCCAGCCCUCCCCAUCUUCACCUCGCACUCCCCUGACACACUGGGAGCCUCCUGAUCCGUGAACCCGCGCUGGCGGGAGUAGCUACUGACCGCUGGGGACCCCUGCCCAGGCUGUUCGCAUGUGGAAAGGAUUCAGGGAGCAGGCGAUGCCCAAAGCGUGGAGACCAGCACUGCUCUCUCCCCAGUGACAGGUGCACGCCCAGAUCACGGAUGUGUCGGGAACAGCUGUGCUCCUGCUGCUCAGCGUCCGUCACUCCAGGCUGGGAGCGGGUCCCCAAGCUUCUGGCUGGGCCUAUCCGUCUCCACUCUCAGUGUGGGGGUGGGGGGCGCCAACAGCACGCAUUUGCUCUCUGCACUUCUCGUCUGAUAAUGGGCAGAGGGUCCUUCUGCAGCCCCAAAACAUCCCUAGGCAGGAGCCCUGGGGCCCCAAGCAGCCAGGGAGGUGAGCACCAAGGACCUCCCAGAGAGCGUCACCUUCCGUCGAGGGAGGCCCAGCCUGGGGGCGGUGUCUGAGACUUGGAAUCAACGCUUCCGUUGGUGGCAGUAAAUCCUGUCCCUAACCCUGCAGUACAGCUGUGCCGUGUACAGGAGGGUGCUGUCUGACGCCAGACACCUGGACUACAGAUCGCAGCCUGAUUCCUGGUCAUUGCUCCACUGAACCCCAGACCCCAGCCUCGUUCUGGGCCCUCAUCCCCUAGAUCCAGGGACCCCAGCCCCAUUUCAGCCCUUGGGCCCUUGUAGGAUGCGAGGCCCUGGGCCCCAGCCCCCAGCCCAUCCGUGGCCCAGGCACUGGGGGGCUGAGGUCCUCUGAGAAGGGACACAGGGCCUGGGGGGCUCUCUCAGCCCAUCAGCAGGAGAGGACUGACUCCAGAAAAAUCAGCGUUUGUACCCACUCAGGCUGCCAAGACCUGUGUCCGUCCUUCCAAGCUCAACCUUCAGAGUUCAUGAGGCCCCUUGCCCAGAAUGUCCACAGAGUUCAUGAGGCCCCUUGCCCGGAAUGUCCACAUUUGAAACCUCCCAACACCGAGCCCCAUUUCAAGUAUAACCAGGAGGGAAAAUGGUGCUUGAAAUAAGCAUGCCACAAAGGAAAACCUGCUUUCUCGAAAUGGGCCCUGGCCGCCCAGGCCCUGACCUCCCCGGCCAGGAUGGAACGUUCCAGAGACCCAUUAGUGCCAAAGGCAAAUGAAAACACACCCUGUGAAAAUGUC
rnacentral:lncRNA from 1 species